rnacentral:misc_RNA from 1 species
GCGUUCGAUGCGCUUGGAUUGCAAGGAAUAGACUUCCACACUCUGGUUCACGUUGAUCCUGCUAUGAGGACGUUGACGGACCCUUACGCCGCCGGGCCACCUCGGUUGCUGUGCGGCGGCAGGACGGGAAUGAUGCUUGCUGCUGUCCGGCGGGUGGUCUGGAUAAAUGCUAAUUCAUUAUAAUUAGCUUGCGACGCAUCCGCAAUACAGACCUGCGGAAAUCGCAUAUGUUCGAUCUGCCGGGGUUGCAUACCAUCCCUGAUAUGUCAGCUAGC